rnacentral:rRNA from 1 species
UACGUAGGGGGCGGGCGUGUCCGGAAUUAUUGGGCGUAAAGAGCGUGUAGGCGGUUCGGUAAGUCUGCCGUGAAAACCUGGGGCUCAACCCCGGGCGUGCGGUGGAUACUGCCGGGCUAGAGGGUGGUAGAGGCGAGUGGAAUUCCCGGUGUAGCGGUGAAAUGCGCAGAUAUCGGGAGGAACACCAGUAGCGAAGGCGGCUCGCUGGGCCAUUCCUGACGCUGAGACGCGAAAAGCUAGGGGAGCGAACAGG